rnacentral:rRNA from 1 species
AUGGAGCUCGGCCUCGCCUCCUCCCGCGGCCCGGCCGGCCCCUCGCUCGCCGUCGCCGGGCGGCGGCCGCGGCCCUCGCUCUCGCCGCCGCUGCCCUGCCCCCUUUCGCUUCAGAUACAGACUCGCGGUUACUCGAUGCCGACUCUCCAUCACAAGGCCCAUACCACAGUAGGAUGCCAGGCUUCUGUAGCAGCCAAAUACAUGGAAACACCUGACAUAGUCGAUCUGGACUGGGAAAACCUUGGCUUCGGCCUUGUCGAUACCGACUUUAUGUACAUGGCCAAAUGCGGGACAGAUGGAAACUUUUCCAGUGGAGAAAUCGUGCCUUUUGGACCCAUAGCACUAAGCCCGUCUGCUGGAGUCUUAAAUUAUGGACAGGGACUGUUUGAGGGCCUAAAAGCAUAUAGGAAAACUGAUGGGUCUGUCCUAUUAUUCCGUCCGGAGGAGAAUGCCAUAAGGAUGAAAAAUGGUUCAGAUAGGAUGUGCAUGCCUGCACCGACUGUUGAGCAAUUUGUGGAUGCAGUGAAGCAAACUGUUCUGGCAAAUAAAAGAUGGGUGCCUCCUACCGGUAAAGGUUCCUUGUAUAUCAGGCCGCUACUAAUUGGAAGCGGGGCUAUUCUUGGUCUUGCACCUGCUCCUGAGUACACCUUCCUUAUUUAUGUCUCCCCUGUUGGAAAUUAUUUCAAGGAAGGUUUAGCUCCUAUUAACUUGAUUAUUGAAGAUAACUUUCACCGUGCGGCCCCUGGUGGAACUGGAGGCGUGAAAACUAUUGGAAACUAUGCCUCGGUGUUGAAAGCACAGAGAACUGCAAAGGACAAAGGAUAUUCUGAUGUCCUCUAUUUGGAUGCCGUUCACAACAAAUAUCUGGAAGAAGUUUCUUCAUGCAAUAUUUUCGUUGUGAAAGGCAAUGCUAUUUCCACUCCAGCAAUAGAAGGAACGAUAUUGCCUGGUAUCACAAGGAAAAGUAUCAUCGAAGUUGCCGAGAGCAAAGGCUACAAGGUGGAGGAACGCCAUGUGUCUGUAGAUGAACUGCUUGAUGCAGACGAAGUUUUCUGCACAGGAACAGCUGUUGUGGUUUCACCCGUGGGGAGCAUUACCUAUAAGGGGAAAAGGGUAGAAUACGAUGGCAACCAAGGAGUCGGCGUGGUGUCACAGCAGCUAUACACCUCGCUGACAAGCCUCCAGAUGGGUCACACAGAGGAUCGGAUGGGCUGGACCAUGCAACUGAAUUAA